AGAGUUUGAUCCUGGCUCAGGACGAACGCUGGCGGCGCGCCUAACACAUGCAAGUCGAACGAGAGAAGAGAAGCUUGCUUUUCUGAUCUAGUGGCGGACGGGUGAGUAACACGUGAGCAAUCUGCCUUUCAGAGGGGGAUACCGAUUGGAAACGAUCGUUAAUACCGCAUAAUAUAAUUGAACCGCAUGAUUUGAUUAUCAAAGAUUUAUCGCUGAAAGAUGAGCUCGCGUCCGAUUAGCUAGUUGGUGAGGUAAUGGCCCACCAAGGCGACGAUCGGUAGCCGGACUGAGAGGUUGAACGGCCACAUUGGGACUGAGACACGGCCCAGACUCCUACGGGAGGCAGCAGUGGGGAAUAUUGCACAAUGGAGGAAACUCUGAUGCAGCGAUGCCGCGUGAGGGAAGAAGGUUUUAGGAUUGUAAACCUCUGUCUUCAGGGACGAAAAAAGACGGUACCUGAGGAGGAAGCUCCGGCUAACUACGUGCCAGCAGCCGCGGUAAUACGUAGGGAGCAAGCGUUGUCCGGAUUUACUGGGUGUAAAGGGUGCGUAGGCGGAUUGGCAAGUCAGAAGUGAAAUCCAUGGGCUUAACCCAUGAACUGCUUUUGAAACUGUUAGUCUUGAGUGAAGUAGAGGUAGGCGGAAUUCCCGGUGUAGCGGUGGAAUGCGUAGAUAUCGGGAGGAACACCAGUGGCGAAGGCGGCCUACUGGGCACCAACUGACGCUGAGGCUCGAAAGUGUGGGUAGCAAACAGGAUUAGAUACCCUGGUAGUCCACACCGUAAACGAUGAAUACUAGGGGGUUGGAGGAUUACCCCCUUCGGUGCCGCAGUUAACACAAUAAGUAAUCCACCUGGGGAGUACGACCGCAAGGUUGAAACUCAAAGGAAUUGACGGGGGCCCGCACAAGCAGUGGAGGUAUGUGGUUUAAUUCGACGCAACGCGAAGAUCCUUUCCAAGUCUUGACAUCCCUUGACGAUGCUGGAAACAGUAUUUCUCUUCGGAGCAAGGAGACAGGUGGUGCAUGGUUGUCGUCAGCUCGUGUCGUGAGAUGUUGGGUUAAGUCCCGCAACGAGCGCAACCCUUACUGUUAGUUACUACGCAAGAGGACUCUGGCCAGACUGCCGUUGACAAAACGGAGGAAGGUGGGGAUGACGUCAAAUCAUCAUGCCCUUUAUGACUUGGGCUACACACGUACUACAAUGGCGUUAAACAAAGAGAAGCAAGACCGCGAGGUGGAGCAAAACUCAGAAACAACGUCCCAGUUCGGACUGCAGACUGCAACUCGCCUGCACGAAGUCGGAAUUGCUAGUAAUCGUGGAUCAGCAUGCCACGGUGAAUACGUUCCCGGGCCUUGCACUCACCGCCCGUCA
rnacentral:rRNA from 1 species